UGGUUCUGGCAUCGAUGAAGAACGCAGCGAAAUGCGAUAAGUAAUGUGAAUUGCAGAAUUCAGUGAAUCAUCGAAUCUUUGAACGCACAUUGCGCCCGCCAGCACUCUGGCGGGCAUGCCUGUUCGAGCGUCAUUUCAACCCUCGAGCCCCCCGGGCUUGGCGUUGGGGAUCGGCCCCGCCCCGGCGGCCGGCCCCGAAAUCCAGUGGCGGCCACGCCGCGGCUUCCUCUGCGUAGUAGAAACACCUCGCACCGGGACGCGGCGCGGCCACGCCGUGAAACAGACGAGUCUCUUCUGAUGGUUGACCUCGGAUCAGGUAGGAAUACCCGCUGA
rnacentral:misc_RNA from 1 species